rnacentral:rRNA from 1 species
GACGAACGCUGGCGGCGUGCUUAACACAUGCAAGUCGAGCGAUAAGGCCUUUCGGGGUCCACGCUCAGCGUACCGGCGGGUAACACGGUGACAAUCUGCCCUGCUCUUCAGGAUACUCCUGGGACACUGGGUCUAAUACCCGAUAUGACCUUCUUACGUUUAACGGGUGGGUGCAAGAUUUAUCGAGGAAUGUUGUGCCCGCUGCCUAUCAGCUUGUUGGUGGGGAAAUGGCCUACCAAGGCGACGCCGGGUAGCCGACCUGAGGGGGUGACCGGCCACACUGGGACUGAGACGCGGCACAGACUCCGACGGGACGCAGCAGGGGGGAAGAUUGCACGAUGGGCGAAAGCCUGAUGCAGAGACGCCGCGUGAGGGAUGACGGCCUUCGGGUUGUAAACCUCUUUCGGCAGGGACGAAGCGCAAGUGACGGUACCUGCAGAAGAAGCACCGGCUAACUACGUG